rnacentral:rRNA from 1 species
ACCGAUUGAAUGUUUCGGUGAAGAUUCCGGACCGUGGCUCGCGUGCUUCACGGCGCUCCUGCCGUGGGAAGUUAUCUAAACCUCAACAUUUAGAGGAAGGUGAAGUCGUAACAAGGUUUCCGUAGGUGAACCUGCGGAAGGAUCAUUA